rnacentral:rRNA from 1 species
UACGUAGGGUGCGAGCGUUGUCCGGAAUUAUUGGGCGUAAAGAGCUUGUAGGCGGUUUGUCGCGUCUGCUGUGAAAACUGGAGGCUCAACCUCCAGCCUGCAGUGGGUACGGGCAGACUAGAGUGCGGUAGGGGAGAUUGGAAUUCCUGGUGUAGCGGUGGAAUGCGCAGAUAUCAGGAGGAACACCGAUGGCGAAGGCAGAUCUCUGGGCCGUAACUGAC